ACUCAGGAUAGCUCACUAGGUAGAGCUAAGAGCCUCUUAGUCUCAAGGUCGUGGGUUCGAGCCCCACGUUGGGUG